CUCCGCCCGACCUUGCUUGUCUGCACCCGGGCUCGGGGGUCGGCCGCGGGGCUGACCUGGGCUGCGCCCGCGCCCUGCUCUAACGUGCUCUAACGUGCUCUAACCUGCGCUGCGUGACCGCGGCCAGACCUAACUCCGCCUCCGACCCCGUGGAAGCUCGAGGGUUGAGCUCCGGGACGGAUGGGGGCUCCCCUCCCGCCUGCAGCAUUCCCGUCCUGUCCACCCCUGCGCCCCCAGCCCUGCUGCGCUCUGCAGCCUGCCUGAACCCACCAGACCGCGGGGUCUUGCUGAGGCUGACGGCUAAGAUCUGCAGCAUCUCCAUGGCACCGUCAAUCUGGGUUCCUCUUGCCAGGAAUUGGUUCCUGCUUUCCGCUGGAGGAAAGCCCGGACCUAGUGUUCUCAUUGCUUUCAUGGUGAUCUUCAGAGGCACUUAAUUCCAUCAUAUCUGCCUACACCCCAUAGCAUUUUGAAUUAACCUCUAUUAUAGCACUUAUAACAAAUGAGCAAAUCCAGGUCUUUGGAAAAUAGCAGGCUGUUGCUGAAGCAAUGAGUGAUUGAACUCCUAAGGAAGCUAACCACUGAGGAAAAGUUUAUGUUAACUUAGAGUACUAUGGUCUUAUUUCUUAAUCUUAGAGAAUUCUGGAAAAACUAUUCUUGCAUUUGCAUCUAGACAAUUCUGGUCGUUUCCAUCCCAAUUGUGACACUUUGUAACAGAGUGUCCUAAGGCAGUUUUCGUAAUCAUUUAGAACCUCAGUUUUCCAUAUUUUUGCAACGUGGAUAAUAAUACUUAAGAUCAUAACAUUGCGGUCCUAGUAUGUUUCAGAAGAUUAGAUGAGAUGACACAUAUAAAGCCCAUAGCACAGUGGAAGGCAAUGCUGCUCAUAAUUAUGAGUGUUUAUUAUUCUUGCCUUUCCUAACUCCAGGAAACUUUAAUCACUUCCUGCUUAAUUUGAGCAAGGGUUUGGCAAAUGCACCUGCUAACAGCAACUGAUGAACAAUGCUGUCUUCAACUCCCUCAUGCCUGAGCUUCCACAAAGGCCUUCUUUGAAACCCAUGCAAGCAGAACAACCAAGGUGCUUCAUCAAUGGGGCUCAUGUACUGACAGGGCUCCGAACAGAAAGAAUUUGCUGCCUUGUGGUGCUGGCCAGGUGUGGAGUCAGGGAUUGUGAGGCAGCCUUCCUGGAGGACUGGAGGCUUCGAAGCUGGGGGAGGACGCCAUGUGACGUGAGUGACUCCACCCAGGACAACACCCUUUGGCUCCUGCUUAUAUGUCCCAAUGUUCACCGGACUCAGAUGCUUGAGUGUCUAGGAGAUACCUGUGCUUAUUCCCCUCCGAGCCUUGCGGUCCUCCCCAUCUCAGCACGACACCUCCAGAAACACAGGUGUCACCCGCAUGUUCUUUCAUGCCCUCAAACCUAAUAUAGUUGACAGUAACGGAAGUUGGAAGUUCCUCCUCCACACCAUGUGAUUCUUCACGGCCGUGUAGCCCCUAUGCCGUCUGGGUAGGGCCGCUCACUCCCAUACCUUCCCCGGUCCAAGCCAACAAGGGUAAUCUCAUCCCUCAUCCACGCCGUGUCUGGUAACGUCCAUCUAAGCUAACGAGGCUGCGGGCAAUGGACGUAUAGUGGGGGUAGGAAGCUAGCCCUGGCCCGUUCUCCCGGCAAUGGGCAUUUGUCCAGAGAUGGCUCAAUCAAUCCGAGAUCAGGAUUUUUAUUUUACAGUUGUUGGAACGAUGCCUGCCCCUCCCCCAGGCAAAUAGGACCAUCUUGCCACCCUGUAUAGGUCUUGCUCUUGAAGCCAAGAGGUAUGGACUUGCAUCCAGGUAUGGACUCAGCAUAAGGAUAAAGGGAUGCAGAAAGGGUGGGGGACAGACGGAGUGGGACUGAGAAGCAGAAGAAUACAUUUAGAGCCCUGAUCAAACCUUACUUGAAGCCCACAUCUGUCAUAGCUUUCACUUUAUAAGUCUGUAAAUCGUCCUUAUUUUCUGAAGAAAGUUGAUGGAGUUUUGUUUCCUGAAAUCGAAAGAACCAAACCAAUAAACGUAUCCACGCCACUA